GGCUAUAUUAAGUUGUUGUACAGAAAAAUCCUGUUCAAAAGAAAAUCUAAGUCCACAGACCUUUGAUCUGGUCAGAGCAUGUCCGCAAUAAUAUAAUGCUGAAAUAAAGUCGGAGAAUAUUGUUCAGAUAUGUGAUAGGUUGUGAGAGAAACAGUAAAGUUCUACUAAGUAUCAUCGGGGAAUAAAAGCAUUGGGUCUGAACAUCCUCUCUGACGUGAGGCAACUGAAUUUAUUCUGCUUCCAUAUCGAUCUGGUUGACGAGGAAAGGUCCCGUCAUUUUUUGACAGCUAGAUCAGGUUCAGGAAAAGGGAGGAGUUAAAGAAAGGAUAGGCGAUUUCGAAAAAUCGCCCCGCAAAAUCCCACUCGCUUCCUUCAGACCUCUGUCCAAAGCCCUUCCCCCAAAACACAUGAACGGGCACUGCUGCCUGAGUCUGACUGCAAUGGAGGAGGAAGACACGAGCGGAGCACGACAUCGCUAACUGACUGCUCUUGGCUCAUUCACAAAGCUUUGAGACUGGUACACUGGACUCUGAUGAGGAAGUAAACAAGUCUGCUUCGACAAGUAGACUAGCGAGGAGAAGAGGGAGUCGCAUACGAGGCGCACCGGGCAGGGACCAUGGGAGACGGGGCAGAGGUCAGCGUGUUGGCCCGACACCCGAGGACCUGGGAGCCAAAGACAUUGCUGAGCUUCAUGUGAUGAGCCAAUUGGUACCUGCUGCUUGAACUGGUUUGAUUCAAUGAUAGUGUAUCUUUAGUUGCCUUUGCUAGAUGUAAAUAGUGUGCUGUGCAAUACAUUUUUUUAAAUUUUUUAAAUUUAUUUCAAAGUUAUUUAAUAUUUAUGAAACCUCAGUAUUUGCCUUGCAAUAAAGUGUAUUUUUGAAAGUGAUUGGUUUCUUUAUGCAAAAAUAAACCACAAUGUGAAGAUGACUUCACAUGUAUAGAGCCCUCAGGUCUUCUUUUGGGUGGUCUUUGGACAUGGUGGUUGUAGUUUGAGCCAGCCACUAAGAUUCUGGCUUCAUAGACUGAAGGGCUGAUGCUGAAGCACUUGCAGGGCUCCAGCUCUGCAGUUGACCUGCAAAUUCAGAGGAAACUGUUAUAAUACUUUUUAUUAAAAAUAAUGUAGUCUAAAAAUAUUCCUCCUUACAAAUUGAUCCCAAUUUAAAAUACU
rnacentral:lncRNA from 1 species